rnacentral:rRNA from 1 species
GACGAACCGUGCGAACGUUGUUCGGAAUCACUGGGCUUAAAGGGCGCGUAGGCGGGUCAGCCAGUUCGGGGUGAAAUCCUUCGGCUUAACCGGAGAACUGCCUCGAAGACGACUGAUCUGGAGGGAGGUAGGGGUCGCUGGAACUUCCGGUGGAGCGGUGAAAUGCGUUGAUAUCGGAAGGAACGCCGGUGGCGAAAGCGAGCGACUGGACCUUUACUGACGCUGAGGCGCGAAAGCUAGGGGAGCAAACGGG